UACGUAGGGCGCAAGCGUUGUCCGGAAUUAUUGGGCGUAAAGAGCUCGUAGGCGGUCUGUCGCGUCCGUUGUGAAAACUCGAGGCUCAACCUCGGGCUUGCAGUGGAUACGGCAGACUAGAGUGCGGUAGGGGAGACUGGAAUUCCUGGUGUAGCGGUGGAAUGCGCAGAUAUCAGGAGGAACACCGAUGGCGAAGGCAGGUCUCUGGGCCGCAACUGACGCUGAGGAGCGAAAGCAUGGGAGCGAACAGG
rnacentral:rRNA from 1 species